AUUGGGUUGACCGGUGAUCACCGCUUGACUAAUAAUUAUUCAUCGGACACUUUUUUUGAUCAGCAUUCAUCGGACACUUCCACUUCCAGUACUUCCCAUGUUUCAAUCCAGAUCUCUUAUAAAGAAAGUGGACACUACUCUCUCCCCCUUUGCGACCCCUCCAUUCUCUAUUCUAUACAGUCUAUAUAGUAUAUAGCUCCGUCCAUCUCCCCCUCUCACAAGGGGCUUUUGAGUUGCAUACAGUCAUGGAUCCACGUUUCACUGAAGUAUCCUAUCCGACAAGCAGUUUCAAAUUCGAUGAUGAUGCCUUCUCACCUGCAUUCAGUCCGUCCGAAAUUCUUGGAAACACAUUCCAAGCUCAAGAUGAGCCUGAUGAUCUUAGCUUUUUACUAGAUCAUUUUCUUCCCCCUGAUCCCAACCCCGGUUUUGUGGGUUUGACCUCGAGUGGAAGCUCAGAAGUUGAAUCUCCUGACGAUAGUGACUUUUCUGAUGAUGUUCUCAAGUUCAUCAACACAAUACUCAUGGAAGAGAACAUGGAGCAGAAACCCUGUAUGUUCCACGAUCCUUUGGCCCUGCAAGCUACUGAGAAAUCGUUGUACGAUGUUAUUGGUGAGAAGUACCCUGUUUCCCCAAAUCAACCUCCUCUUUACUUCAAUCAAAAUUCUGAAAGCCCUAAUGAGAACUUAUUUAGUAGUUCUAGUGAGCAGAGUAGUAACAGUAACACUACCUCUGGCAACUCUGUUGAGUCUCAAUGGAUUGUUGAUCCUGGUACUUUCGGAUACAAUUUUGAGGCAACUACAGCGAGUUCUACUGACAACAGUACUGGUCCAAUGAACUCCUCGAUGAGUAGCCAUUUGAUUCCAAACAUGAUUAGCGAUAGCCAGUUCAUAUUGCAGUUCAAGAGAGGGGUGGAGGAAGCUAGCAAGUUCCUUCCUAGUAAUAAUCCAUUGAUUAUUGAUUUGGAGAGCUAUACGAUGGUUCCAGGGUCAAAGGAAGAGGCUCCGGAGGUUGUAGUCAAGACGGAGAAGGAUGAAAGGGAAGACUCACCUAAUGUCUCAAGGGGUAGGAAGAAUCGUCAUCACCGCGAGGAUAGUGACUUAGAAGAGGAGAGGAGUAGCAAAAUUUCAGCAGUUUAUGUGGAAGAGUCUGACUUAUCAGACAUGUUUGAAAAGCUUUUGCAGUGUAAUGAGAAAGCGGAGCCUACAUGCUGUGAUGCUGAUGAAGAAGUGCAGAGUGAAGAAACCAAGACCACCCAACAGAAUGAACAACCACAUGCAUCUAAAGGUGGGAAAACUCGUGCUAAGAAACAGGAAAGUAAAAAUGAAGUGGUGGAUUUGAGGACACUCUUGAUUAAUUGCGCACAAUCUGUUGCUGCAGAGGAUCGCAGAACUGCAUAUGAUCAACUAAAGAACAUUAGGCAGCACUCUUCUCCUUCUGGUGAUGGGUCUCAGAGGUUGGCAAAUGUCUUCGCCAACGGCCUUGAGGCACGUUUGGCUGGAACUGGAAGCCAGCUCUAUGCAGCCCUAGCUUUCAAGAGGAUUUCAGCUGCUGAAAAGUUGAAAGCUUACCAGCUUUAUUUUUCAGCUUGCCCAUUUAAGAAGAUAUGUAUUAUCUAUGCGAACUUGAUGAUUGCAGAUUUAGCAAUUACUUCAUGCAAAAAAAAGCUCCAUAUUGUUGAUUUUGGUAUCCAAUAUGGUUUUCAGUGGCCCAUGCUUAUCAAACAUCUCUCAACCCUUCCCGGUGGGGCCCCUGAACUGCGAAUUACCGGGAUUGAGCUUCCUCAACCUGGUUUCCGCCCUGCAGAGUUUGUUGAGGAGACAGGGCGUCGCUUGGCAAAGUAUUGUGAACGCUAUAAUGUCCAAUUUGAAUACCAUGCCGUAGCUCAGAAAUGGGAAACUGUCAAACUUGAGGAACUCAAAAUAUACGAUGAUGAGGUGCUUGCUGUGAAUUCUCUCUUCACGUUGAAGAACCUACUUGAUGAUUCAGUUGUGGAGGAUAGUCCAAGAGAUGCCGUUCUGAUGUUAAUAAGGAAGAUAAAGCCGGACAUUUUUGUCCAUACUACUAUCAAUGGUUCCUACACUGCCCCCUUCUUUAUCACUCGAUUUCGUGAAGCUCUCUUCAACUAUUCUUCACUGUUUGAUAUGCUUGACACUACUAUACCCAGCGAAAAUCAGCACAGGAGGAAUUUUGAGCAAGGGUUCUAUGGGCGUGAGAUUAUGAAUGUAAUUGCAUGUGAGGGUUUGGAAAGGGUAGAGAGGCCUGAGACUUAUAAGCAGUGGCAAGCUCGCAGUAUUAGGGCUGGUUUCAGGAUCCUCCCACUGAAGCAGGAGCUCGUGAAGAAGUUCAGGGGUAAGGUGAAGGCAUUUUAUCAUGAACAUUUUGAGAUCGAGGAAGAUGGUCAAUGGAUGCUGCAAGGAUGGAAGGGUCGGACAUUCUGUGCUACGUCCUGUUGGUUACCUGCAUAGAAGUAUUUGACUCAUGCUUACUAUACUUCUGGAUUGUAGACUAUGGGUUUGUUCCAACUGUGGCUGGCCAAGGAUGUUUGACAAAACAGGCAAUGUACCUGUUUCUUCAACUUUAAUUACCUCUCUCUCUCUCUCUCUCCCUCUCUCUCUCUCUCUCUCUCUCUCUCUCUCUCUCUCUCUCUCUGACAUGCAUGCAUCUUCAAGUAUUUGUGUUUUCUUCUUGGUAUGCUUGUACACGGAAGUAUACAUUUGUCUGCUUCUUCAUAUGACACCGAGGCUAUACAUUUCUCAGAUUAUCUGCAAUGGUACCUGCUCUCAUGCAAAACACGCUUGGAAAUUAUUGCAGAAGAUGCUUAUGGGUUAUCUGAAUUUUGUGUCAUGUACUAAUACGACCGGAUAAUGUUUAUGGGCAGUCUUGGGAAUUCUGUGGCACAACUCGUACUGCUCGGGGUUUUGAAACUUCAUCUCGAUAUGGUUUUGAAUUUAUGGAUGUAAAAGUGGUCUACUGGAGUAAAUAUUUGUCACUCACUAAGGACCUCUAGUGUUGGUUUAUCAGUGUGCUAUGCUAUCCAAGUAUCCAUUAAUGUUUGCUUGUCAAGAUUUUGUUAA